GAUGAACGCUGGCGGCGUGCCUAAUACAUGCAAGUCGAGCGAACAGACGAGGAGCUUGCUCCUCUGACGUUAGCGGCGGACGGGUGAGUAACACGUGGAUAACCUACCUAUAAGACUGGGAUAACUUCGGGAAACCGGAGCUAAUACCGGAUAAUAUAUUGAACCGCAUGGUUCAAUAGUGAAGGACGGUUUUGCUGUCACUUAUAGAUGGAUCCGCGCCGCAUUAGCUAGUUGGUAAGGUAACGGCUUACCAAGGCAACGAUGCGUAGCCGACCUGAGAGGGUGAUCGGCCACACUGGAACUGAGACACGGUCCAGACUCCUACGGGAGGCAGCAGUAGGGAAUCUUCCGCAAUGGGCGAAAGCCUGACGGAGCAACGCCGCGUGAGUGACGAAGGUCUUCGGAUCGUAAAACUCUGUUAUUAGGGAAGAACAAAUGUGUAAGUAACUAUGCACGUCUUGACGGUACCUAAUCAGAAAGCCACGGCUAACUACGUG
rnacentral:rRNA from 1 species